AAUGGCUAGAAGAAAAUGACUGUUUAUGUGACGAACAGAACGGGUUCCGGAAAGGAAGAAGCUGUGAGGAACAUAUUCACUCCUUAUUUUUGACUCUAAACGACCGAAAAAUAUCGCGUAAAUCAACAUUUGCGUGUUUCAUAGACAUGAAAAAGGCUUUCGACACGGUAGACCGUAUAUUACUCUGGUAUAAGUUACAAGCGUUGGGCAUCCGUGGUGAAUUCUUAAGUGCAGUUCAAUCUCUUUAUACAGAUGUACAAUGUACUGUACGGGUUAACAGUGACAAUACCCCGUGGUUUGACGUUUCUAGCGGUGUGAAACAGGGCUGUAUACUGUCUCCCACGUUGUUUUCUAUUUUCAUAAACGAUUUAGCCAGCAAAAUCAACGAUCUAAAAUGUGGUUUACAGAUGGA
rnacentral:lncRNA from 1 species